UCCUGAGCUGAAGAUUACUAAGAUUUCUUCAUAGUGGAGUUAGCUGAAUUGUCCAUUGAGAAAAGUUUACUACAAAGCCAAACAGGAAGUGUAUGAUACAGACCAAAGUCCACAUGUACACAUGUGUUACAUCAUCAAGAGUAUCAUCUUACUUAGCCUCAAGGCUGGCCCUGCACUGCAGCAUGGGCCUCAAGUCACAUGACACAGUGACCUUGCAUACCAGAGAUAAACAGUUAGUGUGGGAAAUUUGAAAACUGCUACAGUCAGUUGAAUGCCUGUGCAGCUAGCCAGUAGGCCCACACCAUGCCCACACAUUGCAAGAGGGCAGAAAUUGUAUAAAACUGGAUAAAAAUCAUAGAUAAAUGCAUGCCUUUGGACAUAAUUUACUAAUGAUGUACCCACUCAACCUGUACAUGACCUGUAAGAAACUGGAUGUUUGGCUGGUUGAGUCUUUGAAGUGGACACGGUGCACUCACAACUGAAGGCUACCGUCUGACGGUGUCGUGCGUGUCAACACGCUGGACAAGCUAUUUGUAUGUGCUCAGAUUUGGAUAGCUUGUCAACGUCAUGCUGCAGGGGGCAGAAGGGGACAGACGACAGCCAUGUAGCCCUGCCAGAGAUGGUUAUUUUACCUGUUAAGAGUUUCAUCUAUCGACUAGUCAUUGACAGCAAAAUUUCCCCAGGAGGCGGAUGUUACAAGGGUUAUCAAUAGUGCUUGCUGAAACGCCAGAUGGGCAUCCAAUGGAAAUUCCUCAGCUGAGUAGAAUUUGCAAAGAGUAUACCCCCCACCCCCAAAAAAUAGGAAAUAUAUUUGUUCUUUUAUUAAUCUUACCUGGAGAACAGUCAACCUUAUCAAUUAAAAACACUUGUUGCAUUAAAUCUCUAGCUAGUAGGAGUAAAUCCCUAGUAUAAUAAACAUCCACUACAUCUUGUUAAGGUCAAUUUGAAGGGUCCUCCAAUUACUUAUCCUUGACUUCCAGCCAUUUUAAAACCUACAUUGCCUUUAAAAAUUGUCAUUUUGUAUACCAUAGUUUUUCCUUUUAUCCGUGUUCAUUUUUUUUCGUUUUAAUUUUUUUAAUUUUAAUAGAAAAUCUCAAUUUGUCAUUUAAGUGAUGCAGAUUUAAUGCACAAGUGUAACAAAAACAUAACCCAUUGAUGCAACAAAGAAUAUAAUAAAGGAAGCAGCAAUGGCUGAACUUCUGAAUUUCAAUUUAA